rnacentral:rRNA from 1 species
AACGUAGGAGACGAACGUUAUCCGGAUUUACUGGGCGUAAAGGGCGUGUAGGCGGUUUGUUAAGUCUGGCGUGAAAGCUCUCGGCUAAACCGGGAGAGGUCGUUGGAUACUGGCGAACUAGAGGAUGGUAGAGGCGUGUGGAAUUCCGGGUGUAGUGGUGAAAUGCGUAGGGAUCCGGAGGAACACCAGUGGCGAAGGCGACACGCUGGGCCGUACCUGACACUGAUACGCGACAGCAUGGGGAGCGAACGGG